rnacentral:miRNA from 1 species
UGUUAUUAUCUGCUUUUUAUG